ACAUCGCCUGGGCCAGUGGCCCCAGGUUGGAAAGCUGCCGCCUUUCGGCCAUGCGCAAGCCGAAGUCUUCUACGUUCGCAUCGCGUGCGGAGUU
rnacentral:tRNA from 1 species